rnacentral:rRNA from 1 species
CGACUUGGAGGUUGUUCCCUUGAGGAGUGGCUUCCGGAGCUAACGCGUUAAGUCGACCGCCUGGGGAGUACGGCCGCAAGGUUAAAACUCAAAUGAAUUGACGGGGGCCCGCACAAGCGGUGGAGCAUGUGGUUUAAUUCGAUGCAACGCGAAGAACCUUACCUACUCUUGACAUCCAGAGAACUUAGCAGAGAUGCUUUGGUGCCUUCGGGAACUCUGAGACAGGUGCUGCAUGGCUGUCGUCAGCUCGUGUUGUGAAAUGUUGGGUUAAGUCCCGCAACGAGCGCAACCCUUAUCCUUUGUUGCCAGCGAUUCGGUCGGGAACUCAAAGGAGACUGCCGGUGAUAAACCGGAGGAAGGUGGGGAUGACGUCAAGUCAUCAUGGCCCUUACGAGUAGGGCUACACACGUGCUACAAUGGCGCAUACAAAGAGAAGCGACCUCGCGAGAGCAAGCGGACCUCACAAAGUGCGUCGUAGUCCGGAUCGGAGUCUGCAACUCGACUCCGUGAAGUCGGAAUCGCUAGUAAUCGUGGAUCAGAAUGCCACGGUGAAUACGUUCCCGGGCCUUGUACACACCGCCCGUCACACCAUGGGAGUGGGUUGCAAAAGAAGUAGGUAGCUUAACCUUCGGGAGGGCGCUUACCACUUUGUGAUUCAUGACUGGGGUGAAGUCGUAACAAGGUAUC